ACGCUGGCGGCGUGCUUAACACAUGCAAGUCGAACGGAGUUCCUUGGAUAGAGGCUUCGGCCAAUUGAAUUGGAACUUAGUGGCGGACUGGUGAGUAACGCGUGAGGAACCUGCCUUUCAGAGGGGGACAACAGUUGGAAACGACUGCUAAUACCGCAUAAGACCACAGUACCGCAUGGUACAGUGAUAAAAACUCCGGUGGUAUGAGAUGGACCCGCGUUGGAUUAGCUAGUUGGUGAGGUAGUGGCUCACCAAGGCGACGAUCCAUAGCCGGCCUGAGAGGGUGGACGGCCACAUUGGGACUGAGACACGGCCCAGACUCCUACGGGAGGCAGCAGUGGGGAAUAUUGCACAAUGGGGGAAACCCUGAUGCAGCGACGCCGCGUGGAGGAAGAAGGUCUUCGGAUUGUAAACUCCUGUUGUCAAGGACGAUAAUGACGGUACUUGACAAGAAAGCCACGGCUAACUACGUG
rnacentral:rRNA from 1 species